rnacentral:rRNA from 1 species
UACGGAGGAUGCGAGCGUUAUCCGGAUUUAUUGGGUUUAAAGGGUGCGUAGGCGGAGUGCCAAGUCAGCGGUAAAAAUUCGGGGCUCAACCCCGUCGUGCCGUUGAAACUGGCGCCCUUGAGUGGGCGAGAAGUAUGCGGAGUGCGUGGUGUAGCGGUGAAAUGCAUAGAUAUCACGCAGAACCCCGAUUGCGAAGGCAGCAUACCGGCGCCCGACUGACGCUGAAGCACGAAAGCGUGGGUAUCGAACAGG